GGGACACGUGGUAUCCUGUCUGAAUAUGGGGGGACCAUCCUCCAAGGCUAAAUACUCCUGACUGACCGAUAGUGAACCAGUACCGUGAGGGAAAGGCGAAAAGAACCCCGGCGAGGGGAGUGAAAAAGAACCUGAAACCGUGUACGUACAAGCAGUGGGAGCACGCUUAGGCGUGUGACUGCGUACCUUUUGUAUAAUGGGUCAGCGACUUAUAUUCUGUAGCAAGGUUAACCGAAUAGGGGAGCCGAAGGGAAACCGAGUCUUAACUGGGCGUUAAGUUGCAGGGUAUAGACCCGAAACCCGGUGAUCUAGCCAUGGGCAGGUUGAAGGUUGGGUAACACUAACUGGAGGACCGAACCGACUAAUGUUGAAAAAUUAGCGGAUGACUUGUGGCUGGGGGUGAAAGGCCAAUCAAACCGGGAGAUAGCUGGUUCUCCCCGAAAGCUAUUUAGGUAGCGCCUCGUGAAUUCAUCUCCGGGGGUAGAGCACUGUUUCGGCAAGGGGGUCAUCCCGACUUACCAACCCGAUGCAAACUGCGAAUACCGGAGAAUGUUAUCACGGGAGACACACGGCGGGUGCUAACGUCCGUCGUGAAGAGGGAAACAACCCAGACCGCCAGCUAAGGUCCCAAAGUCAUGGUUAAGUGGGAAACGAUGUGGGAAGGCCCAGACAGCCAGGAUGUUGGCUUAGAAGCAGCCAUCAUUUAAAGAAAGCGUAAUAGCUCACUGGUCGAGUCGGCCUGCGCGGAAGAUGUAACGGGGCUAAACCAUGCACCGAAGCUGCGGCAGCGACGCUUAUGCGUUGUUGGGUAGGGGAGCGUUCUGUAAGCCUGUGAAGGUGUGCUGUGAGGCAUGCUGGAGGUAUCAGAAGUGCGAAUGCUGACAUAAGUAACGAUAAAGCGGGUGAAAAGCCCGCUCGCCGGAAGACCAAGGGUUCCUGUCCAACGUUAAUCGGGGCAGGGUGAGUCGACCCCUAAGGCGAGGCCGAAAGGCGUAGUCGAUGGGAAACAGGUUAAUAUUCCUGUACUUGGUGUUACUGCGAAGGGGGGACGGAGAAGGCUAUGUUGGCCGGGCGACGGUUGUCCCGGUUUAAGCGUGUAGGCUGGUUUUCCAGGCAAAUCCGGAAAAUCAAGGCUGAGGCGUGAUGACGAGGCACUACGGUGCUGAAGCAACAAAUGCCCUGCUUCCAGGAAAAGC
rnacentral:rRNA from 1 species